rnacentral:rRNA from 1 species
CCCUUAGAUGUUCUGGGCGGCCCGCGCACUACAUUGGCACUAGCAAAGAGAUCCUAGAUUGAAUUCUUUGGGGUAUUCUUCUAAAUGGUGUCGUGACUGGGAUAAAUCCUUGUAGUUAUUGGUUUUGAACGAGGAAUUCCUUGUAAUCGCGGUUUAUCAGCUCGCGUUGAAUGCGUCCCUGCCCUUUGUACACACCGCCCGUCGCUCCUACCGAUGGAUCGUCCGGUGAAACUCACGGAGUGACUGUUCACGCAACGGUUUACGAAGUGAAAUGGACCUCACGAUUUAGAGGAAGGAGAAGUCGUAACA